rnacentral:lncRNA from 1 species
CGGAGAUAUUAAUGUUCAAAAUCGGGAACAUAUUUUGGGAUGUGUCUAAAUUUAGCGAAAAUCGGCAUAUCAAAUAUUAACUCCAGCGUUUGUUUGCUUAAUGACAUAUCAGGCUAUUAAACUUGUAUUUCAGCGAAUUAUCGUUAGGGUUUGUAAGGGAUAUGGCGUAGAUUUAGACAUCUUACACGUAGCCUAAGUCUUAGCUCAUUGUUUCCUGAAAUAUGAACGUUCGAAAUUAUGCAAGUAUUUAAUAUUAGGUCUUUACAAACUUAAAAGUACAUGAAAGACUGACCAUGGAAGGCAGGCGCUUAAAUAUUUCUUAAAUAGCCUAAUUUUUUUAUGUUUUUAGUAGGUUCAAACAGACUAAGUUGAUUAUUUCUCGGUUAGAGCAGGAUGAAUAUUAUUCUUUAUUGAAGGAAAUAGUGUUGCUUUUUGCAAAUAUACAUCACCGUAUCAACGCUACUAUUUUGUUACGUUUUGUUCCAAAAAUGUUGCAUGUCUCUGGGGAGUUGCUUAAUUGUUAUGUCUUAUGGAGUUGUAUGGUUUGAUUGUGUUUCAUAUAAUUCUCAGUUUACUCUGAACUUGCCAAGACUAAGAAAAGGCAAAAAAGUUUGGGUGUUCUUAACAAGAUUUCAGAACGUUGCAGAAGUUAGAAGAGCUUCACAAUUCCAUUGUGACAGCAUGCCCUAUAAUUCAGAACUACGAACGAUCCAUGACGAUCCUUCGCGAUGCAGUGGUCUCAUGAAAUAAGGAAACGUAUUCGUACGUGCUAGAAACACACGCGAAUUUCGGACGAAUAAAUCUUGCUUGUAUUUUGUAGAUAUAAUAAUACUUUGUUUCAUAAUAAACAAUUUGUCAAGUGUCAUUUAUUUACUGGUAAUAGUGCAUGUUUCAGUCGGGCAAAUCUUGAUUAAUAUUUGAUACCCCGUUUUUUGCAUAUUUCAGAC